ensembl:lncRNA
ACUUUCAACCGCACAUUGUCUUGAUUAUUCAAAACAUUUGGGGACUCAAAAUGGAAAAGAUACGUUUCACGAGCAGAAUAGAAAGCUGAUGCCGGUUAACGGUUGGAUACAUCUGCUCUCAUUCAGGCCUGUGGCACUCGCAAAUGAACGGCGUGUGUUUUCAGCGUCCAAAUAGCAGCUCUGCAAAUCAUCUGCCGUGUUUCAGACUUCGAGCUCGAGCGCGCCCACCGAGACGAGAUGUUCAUUCCCCAAUGCCGACUGCUUUCCACGGGACUUGCGAGGUGAGAGAGGGAUUUCCGGUUCGGUCACCAGAUGGAGUCCAAGAGGAAGGUCAUGAAAAGCCCGGGCGUGGACGGAAAGGCGCCAGGACCAACCUGGGAGGAGCUGCGUUUGGACGUGCAGCCAAUCACACGGCUGCAACGGGAUUCUCUAAUCUGAAAUAUUAAACUAUUCAUAGCGUAUUUAUCACACGUAUUUGCUUCUGUUAGAUAGUUCAUUGUUUUUGG